GAUUUACUCUACAUCUAAUGUAGCGAGGUGUUCCGAUUAAUAAUAAUAACUAUAUUUAAUGAUUUACUCCAGCGACAAACUGGCCGUGUAGAAAUUUAGUGACCUUCUGAUAAACUAGGGGAGGGAAUGUUUACCAAUACUGAUGGAGUUUACUGCCAAAUCAAAUGAUUAAAUAUGUCAGUAAGAUCUCGAUGCGUUUCGUUAUUUUUUGUAAGUGGUCACUGGGAACUUCGCGGGUUUCCGCUAAAAACAAUGUCAGAAUGACCAUGUGUUUGACGUCCAAUAGCCGAUGAUA